UUUCUUUUGAGUGAGGGCUGCGUGAGAGUGUCACUGCGAGUGAGAGAAUAAAGUGAAAUGCAGGUAGGCAGGACUGGCCUCUCAUGAGGAGAGAACUGAGCCAAACCCCAAGGGAGUGAGCCAUGUGGCUGUCUACAUACCUAGAAGAAGAAUAUUCUGCAGUUUCCAGAGGGUAGAUUUACAGCAGAUUCUGACACCACGGUGACUUCUCCGUCGAUCCAUGGGGCGUGACUUGAGUCCUCUCCAAAAGAUCUGGAUCUCAGCCCUAGGAGUGGUAGCUGCCUCUUCUAUCUGCUCUUCUUGCUAAUAUUGUUCUCCAGAAUAGUCCACUCUGACUCUCUCAGCCCUGUUUCUAUC